UAAAUGUUUAACAACCAGCUCUCUGGAAAAAAAAUAUUUAAGAGGUGUUUGUUUCUUCCUUCUUUAACUAACUCCCUCCCCCUCCUUCCUUCCUUCCUUCCUUCCUUCCUUCCUUCCUUCCUUCCUUCCUUUUUCUUUCUUUCUUUCUCUUUCUUUCCUUCUUUCUUUCUUUUUCUUUCUUUCUUUCUUUCUUUCUUUCUUUCUUUCUUUCUUUCUUUCUUUCUUUCUUUCUUUCUUUCUUUCUUUCCCUACCUUCCAUCCUAUAAUCAGUACUGUGUAUUGAUUCCAAGGCAGAAGAGUGGUAAGAUCUAGGCAAUGGGAGUUAAGUGACAUACCCAGGGUCACAUAGUUAGGAAGUGUCUGGGGUCAGUUUUGAAACCAGGACUUACUAUCUCUAGGCUUGGCUCUCAAUCCACAGAGACACCUAGCUGGUCCCUAUAAGGCACUUUAAAGUUUAAUCUGUAAUAUUAACAUUUUCAAUAUUAUUUUCUUAAGUCUAGACAAGCAACAAAACAAUAAAUAAAACUCUAAAUUGUAAUGUUCA
rnacentral:lncRNA from 1 species